UACGAAGGGGGCUAGCGUUGUUCGGAAUUACUGGGCGUAAAGCGCACGUAGGCGGCUUUGUAAGUUAGAGGUGAAAGCCCGGGGCUCAACUCCGGAAUUGCCUUUAAAACUGCAUCGCUGGAAUUGUGGAGAGGUAAGUGGAAUUCCGAGUGUAGAGGUGAAAUUCGUAGAUAUUCGGAAGAACACCAGUGGCGAAGGCGACUUACUGGACAGAUAUUGACGCUGAGGUGCGAAAGCGUGGGGAGCAAACAGG
rnacentral:rRNA from 1 species